rnacentral:rRNA from 1 species
UACGUAGGGUCCGAGCGUUGUCCGGAAUUAUUGGGCGUAAAGGGCUCGUAGGCGGUCUGUCGCGUCGGGAGUGAAAACUUACAGCUUAACUGUGAGCGUGCUUCCGAUACGGGCAGACUUGAGGUAUUCAGGGGAGAACGGAAUUCCUGGUGUAGCGGUGAAAUGCGUAGAUAUCUGGAGGAACACCGGUGGCGAAGGCGGCAUCCUGGACCAAUACUGACACUGAGGAGCGAAAGCCAGGGGAGCAAACGGG